rnacentral:rRNA from 1 species
GAUGAACGCUGGCGGCGUGCCUAAUACAUGCCAGUCGAGCGAACAGAUAAGGCUUUUUCUUCUUUUCCGUUAGCGGCGGACGGGUGAUUAAUACGAGUCUACCUGACCUAUAAGACUGAGAUAACUUCGGGAAACCUGAUCUCACAUCGGAUAAGAUUUGGAACCGCAUGGUUCUAAAGAGAAAGAUGUUUUUGCUGUCACUAAUAGAUGUUCCCUCGCCGUAUUAGCUAGUUGGUAAGGUAACGGCGUACCAAGGCUACGAUACGUAGCCGACCUGAGAGGAUGAUCGGCCACACUGGAACUGAGACACGGUCCAGACUCCUACGGGAGGCAGCAGUAGGGAAUCUUCGGCAAUGGGCGAAAGCCUGACGGAGCAGCGCCGCGUGAGUGAUGAAGGGUUUCGGAUCGUAAAGCACUGUUAGUAGGGAGGAACAAAAGUGAGAGUAACUGUGCAUGUCUUGACGUUACCUAAAGAGAAAGCAACGGCUAACUACGUG